CGACGGUGUACCGCUGCGGACCGCACCACAAUGUGGUGAGGGGACAGCAUGACGUUCGCGAUCUUCUUGCGGUGGGUACCACGAUGGGUUCGGGCUCUGCAAUCAUCGGAUGAUUGGACUGCGGUCGGUUUGUUGAAGAAGGCAUCAAGGCGAGGUGUGUUUUAUGUCCCCGGAAUCACUCGUCGGUGAGGAAAAGCGGCCCGAAGCUGGCGAAGCAUGCCAUUCACUGCAAGUCUUGGAAGAAGCAGAGUUGAAGCAAAAAAUUUGUAUAACUUCGAACAGAUAUGGAAGAAACAGAAUAUCACCGAACCCAUCUGGUCAAACUCACUAGUCUCUUAGCAAAGAACCCAUCGCGAACCUCAUGCUGAUCCCACCUUCUCCGGAGCAUUUGUAUAACAUCGCGAACCUCACGGUUGUUCCGAUACCAUCGAAUUCGAAAAAGGUAAAAAUUAUUAUAUAUAUUUAUUCGAAUUCGUUUAGUUUCGAAUAAUAUUUCGAAUACGAA
rnacentral:lncRNA from 1 species